GCCCCUGUAGCUCAGUCCGGACAGAGCAGGUGACUUCUAAUCAUCAGGUCGCAGGUUCGAAUCCUGCCGGGGGCG
rnacentral:tRNA from 1 species